CAUAGUUUAUUAGAUCUUACUCUACUUGGAUACCUGUGGUAACCUAAGAGCUAAUACGUGCAACUAAGUCCUGACUUUACGGAAGGACGCAUUUAUUAGAACAAAACCAAUCGGGCUUGCCCGCUGUUUGGUGAAUCUGAAUAACUAUGCUGAUCGCACAGUCCUAGAACUGGCGACGUAUCUUUCAAAUGUCUGCCUUAUCAACUUUCGACGGUAGUUUACACGUCUACCGUGGUCUCAACGGGUGACGGAGAAUUAGGGUUCGACUCCGGAGAGGGAGCCUGAGAAACGGCUACCACA
rnacentral:rRNA from 1 species